rnacentral:rRNA from 1 species
UACGGGGGGGAGCAAGCGUUGUUCGGAUUUACUGGGCGUAAAGGGCGCGUAGGCGGUCAGCACAAGUCAGUUGUGAAAUCUCCGGGCUUAACCCGGAAAGGUCAACUGAUACUGUGCGACUAGAGUGCGGAAGGGGCAACUGGAAUUCUCGGUGUAGCGGUGAAAUGCGUAGAUAUCAAGAGGAACACCUGAGGUGAAGACGGGUUGCUGGGCUGACACUGACGCUGAGGCGCGAAAGCCAGGGGAGCAAACGGG